UUUGUCAAUAAUUUUUAAGAGUGCUGGUACGUAUUCCGAACAAAGCUAGCAGAUCUUAUCGCUAUGCAAACAAGAAAGAAUGAAAAUGACUCAGUAAAAAUAUCAUAGAAAGAAACUAAGUUAGUAUAAACGUGGGAAAGGAGUUUCGAACGGAGCGCGAUGAUCUUGGCCAGUUUCUGCGUCUGUGGUACAGUGUUAUCGGGUUGUUAUCGUCGUGCAACACGUGUCAAUAUAGGCACGCGUUGGCUGCAACUGUUGAGUGCAUUCACCGACCAUGCGCACAUCAGCUGAACGAAACUCUUCAUAAACCGGCGGGAACACGUUGCACAUGACUCAGUGUACACGAUGCCACGAGUUGGCCGCGAUAGAUUACGCACCACGUAUAUACGCCCUUCCCUUUUUUCAGUUUUCUGCGGUGCUACUACGACCAUUUUUGUCAUCGCGUUUUCUUGACACAUAGAUCUCACGCAUGUGACCUUUCCUGUUUGUUUGCGGUACGAUAUCCGGCUCAGUGUUCAGACAAAGAAGCGCGACCGAUGCCUCAAUUCAACAACAUUCUCCCCCACCGAGGCAAACGACCGUUUUUGAUAAAAAGACUGAAGGAACGAAUAAAAGAAACGGCGUAAAAUAUUUUCCAGGAAGGAAUGACCAUCUGUUUUGUCAUAGAAGAUUCACAAAAGAUUAAGGAGGAUCGUCUAUCAGGCAAGCAUGCGUCUAUACAGCUAAAGAUCCAUAUACACCGAAUUUAUCUCAGGAACAAGCGGCAACAUGGAUAAUAUACCUUACGCGCGGGACGCGCAUGUGACGAACGUUAUCGGUGCUAAUAAGAAGCGUACCUAACCUAAUACACAGAUCGCAAUUAUUUCAUCGAUGCGCAACGUAUACUCAAAAUUUGUCGAUUCCUCCAACGAACUCGCUGUGUUUUUAAUAAAAACAGAGACAGAUGAUAGCUA